rnacentral:rRNA from 1 species
AACGAACGCUGGCGGCAGGCCUAACACAUGCAAGUCGAGCGCCCGUAGCAAUACGGGAGCGGCAGACGGGUGAGUAACACGUGGGAACGUGCCCAAAGGUACGGAACAACUCCGGGAAACUGGAGCUAAUACCGUAUGUGCCCGAAAGGGGAAAGAUUUAUCGCCUUUGGAUCGGCCCGCGUCUGAUUAGCUAGUUGGUGAGGUAAUGGCUCACCAAGGCGACGAUCAGUAGCUGGCUGAGAGGAUGAUCAGCCACACUGGGACUGAGACACGGCCCAGACUCCUACGGGAGGCAGCAGUGGGGAAUAUUGGACAAUGGGCGCAAGCCUGAUCCAGCCAUGCCGCGUG